rnacentral:lncRNA from 1 species
CUGCAUUUCAGUUUUGGGGUUUGCCUUCCAGCUCCCCGCCCCCCAACCCCAAGAAGGCAAGUGUCAAAUUAACAGCUCCAAAACUAAUAAACUGAGUGAGUUCAUGGGGAAAUUAUGGUCCUGAAGGAAGCGGGACUUGCUUCCUUCUUGCUGAAGCCAAAUCCUGAAGACUUGGAGCCCAGCGUCAAGAAAACCCUCUGAGUUCCUUCGCUCCAGGGCUCUCGCGGCCCUGUCGUCUUCCGCGUGCAAUCGCAGGGCCCACCGGAGGCCUGGGCCUACAGCUUGGAGAAGAAGCCUCCGGAAUUCUUUCAAGAGAAGCAUAAAUCCAAGUUCAAGUCUUGGAAACUCAGCAAGGAAUGAUGAAAAAUAAAGUUUCCCUGAUUAGACGAGACCCGCAGAUGACUGGAAGUAGAAUCUGAAACUGUUCUCUGUGUUGCUCAAGAAGUCGCUGUCCCGCCCUUCAGAGUGCCAUGUCUCCACCCCGCCUCGACUCAGUGACAGAAAAACUCUGACAACAGAAUGAAAGAUGACACGGACAAAGAAAGCCCAGGACAUGAAAGCACGUGAAAGGCCAUCACAGCAGCCAAGAGAGACCCAAACCAGGCAAGGAC